AGUUCUAGAAACUGUGUGUGCCACGUGAUGCAAAUCACAGCCUGUAGAAAAGCUGCUGGAAGUGACUCAAGUUAUGUGUGCACAGGCCUGGAUGACAUAAGACACAGCCAGGCAGAGGCUGCAAGAAGUAACUUGAAGUCCUCAUAGCAAAUGUUCAUAACAAUACAUUUCAACAUGUAAGAUUUGAGGUUUUCACAGCGUGUUAUGGUGGGAUGAGACUGUCUGUGUGGAACUGCGGCUGUGCUUUGGUCCUGUUAUCCGUCCCCUAGAUGAAACAUAAAUGAAGGAGCACUGGAGGAAUCAAUGUGCUUGAAGAAAAACCCAUCCCAGUGCCACUCCAUCCACCACAGAUCCCAUAUGGACUGUUGUGGGAGUGAACCGAGGCCCCUACAGUAAGAAGAUAGCGACUAAGCACUUGAGCUAUGGCACAGCCUAAAUGAACGGCAAAGUGAAGUAAAAGAUGCAUCACUAUUCUAAACACAUCCAAUAUUUUAGCCAACAUUACUCUUGCCACUUUCGGAACGAGUGCCUAGAACCUGGGCAGAUGUGGCCCGUGACUUGUUCAUGCUCCAAGGUACACACAAGUCAGAGUACAACUCUAAUUUGAUGGAAGUUGAAUGGUUAAGUAGAGAAAUUAGCUCUGUUAUGUUCCUAUCUCCUCUGCUGAUGUCAUUUGGAUGUUUCACAUUUACACCCAAAAGACAACCAUCUUGAGACUCAUCGCCAUGAAAACCUCAAAUCUUGAAUACAUUUAAUUAUAAUGAAUGAUCUUAAUAAUCUCCUUCAAUGUGCUACAUAUAUAGAUCUAUGUUUUACAUUAAAGGACAUUGCUGAUAAAAUUUAGCUGUAUAUGAAAUGGUAGAAUGAAAUCCCUGAUGACAAUCAGUUGGUAACAAAAAAUAAACACUAUAAAAUGAGUUGGAAUGUAUGGUUAUUUGUAUCGUAAUAUAACUUUUGCUAUACAAUGUUUUAGUUUGCAAACUUUCACCCCUCUAGUAACAUACAAUGUGUAUCAUAAUUAUGCAAUUUCUCUCAGGAUGUCAGUACAAGCCAAUACAGAGACACACCACAUGCAGAAUAACCAUUACAAAACUUACCAUAUUA